rnacentral:rRNA from 1 species
GUUAAGCGACUAAGCGUACACGGUGGAUGCCCUGGCAGUCAGAGGCGAUGAAGGACGUGCUAAUCUGCGAUAAGCGUCGGUAAGGUGAUAUGAACCGUUAUAACCGGCGAUUUCCGAAUGGGGAAACCCAGUGUGAUUCGUCACACUAUCAUUAACUGAAUCCAUAGGUUAAUGAGGCGAACCGGGGGAACUGAAACAUCUAAGUACCCCGAGGAAAAGAAAUCAACCGAGAUUCCCCCAGUAGCGGCGAGCGAACGGGGAGCAGCCCAGAGCCUGAAUCAGUGUGUGUGUUAGUGGAAGCGUCUGGAAAGGCGCGCGAUACAGGGUGACAGCCCCGUACACAAAAAUGCACAUGCUGUGAGCUCGAUGAGUAGGGCGGGACACGUGGUAUCCUGUCUGAAUAUGGGGGGACCAUCCUCCAAGGCUAAAUACUCCUGACUGACCGAUAGUGAACCAGUACCGUGAGGG